AAAAAAGACUGCCAUCAUGAUUGUUAAUGAAAUGCGCAAAGAUGGCAAGGAAUUCCAUGGCACCUAGUUACAGAACGAUCCACAACGAACCCCACCAAGCAACCAUCAUAAUGUUUUUUCUAGAAAGCAGCCAUUUCUAGGAAGCAGCCAUAAAGAAAGUUGGUGAACCAGGGGUAAUCAUAAUAACAGCUACUCCCUCCGUCCGAAAAUACUUGUCAUCAAAAUGAACAAAAAAGGAUGUAUCUAGAACUAAAAUACGUCUAAAUACAUCCCUUUUUAUCCAUUUUGAUGACAAGUAUUUUCGGACGGAGGGAGUACAACAGAAUUGUACAAACGGAGAAAAUUCUUCGACAUGGCAGAAGGAAUAGGUAUUGCUCUUGCGUUUAGUU
rnacentral:lncRNA from 1 species